UAUAUAAAUCCUUUCCUCUGUUCUCCGGUGAACCCAUUCCAAUCACUCUCUUCUCAGGCGAGCGCGCCCCCAAACCCUCUCCUCAUCGGUGGACUUAUCCUCUCCUCUGUUCUCCGGUGAACCCACUCCAAUCCCUCUCUUCUCUAGCGAGCCCACCCCCAAACCCUCUCCUCAUCGGCGAGCUCACCCCAAUCCCUUCCAUCAACCCCAAGUCCACCCAUCCCUCCUCCGGCGACCUCAACUACCCCAACCCCUCUGUUCGCCGGCGAGUCCAACGUCCCUCCGUUCGACGGCGACCUCACCUAGUCCUCGAAAUAAUUUAGUGGGCUAAGGAAGUUUCUUGGCCGUAGGAUCGAUUUUGAAGGGCUGUGAUUAAUGGAUCCCUAGGCUCCAAAAAUCUGCAGAAAUCUGCAGAAAUCUGCAGAAAAUCUGCAGAAACGUUUGAUUCGGUUAAUUUGAAGGAGAGAGCAGAGGGCAGCAAUGACGAAGGAGUCCAAAGGCAAGUGUGAGGCUGCUUCUCACAAGCUACUGAAGGAAAAAGCAAAGACUCGAGUUCAAAAGCUUCGAGGGAUGUUCACCAAUAUUCAAAUUGCCAGGAAGGAGGGUCGGACUGCCGACAUGGCUAUCUUCGAGGACCAAAUGGAUCAGAUGCUUGGCGGGUGGAUUGCCGAGCUCAAUGACCCGUCCAUUGCAUCUUCUUUGCAUGGUGGUAGCCAUGGAAGACUUGAAUCAUUUUCUGAUGAUUUAGCCCGGUUCUCCAAACAACAAUGUGAUGAGAAAGAUGAUGCAGAAAGUCCAUUGAAGGAUUUGCCACAACCUAACCUUGAAGGCCCAGAACCUGAGGACUUUAUCGUUUCUUUUAAGGGACCUCCAGAAGAUAUUUUUCAGGACCUUGAAUUUCCUGAUGUUGUGCCAGAUGUUAUGCCGGAUAUAUGUCCUCCAGCAUCUGCUUUCAAGAGGCCAAAAUGUGCUCUUUGGGAAUGUUCCAGGCCUGUCCAUGUUUUGUGUCAGGACUUUUGCAGUAGUGGCCAUGCCCAUUUAGCAAGAAAUGAAGGUCUUCCUGGGAAAACUCCGGUUCUGCGACCUUGGGGCAUCGCUUUGAAGGAUGGUUCACUUUUUUGCCGCGCUUAAUGAUAAGACACAGGGGAAGGAUGUCGGAAUCCCUGAUUGUGAUGGGGCUGCUACUCUAAGAUCUCCAUGGGAUGAUCCGGAGCUAUUUGAUCUGUUUUUGCACGAGGGUGAAACGCCUAGGGAGUGGCUCUUUUUUGGCAGGCCUAGAAGAGCCUUUGAGAGUGGAAAUCGGAAGCGGAGGUUACUGCAAAACUACAGAGGGCGUUGGCAUGUAUCAAGAACGCAGGAAAUGAUGGAAUAUGGGGGGCAGAAAAGGUCCUAUUAUAUGGAUCCACAGCCUUCAAGCGAUCGCGAGUGGCAUUUGUUUGAGUAUGAGGUCAACAACUCAGACGCCUGUGCACUAUAUAGGUUGGAGCUGAAGUUUGGCACGGCAAAGAAAAGUUCCAAAGGAAAACAAUCAAAUGAUCCGGUGGGAAGGCUCACUGCUGAGGCUUCUACAGAAGUUGGAAACAAUAGCAAGGGAACAACUAGCAAAAACGCUGAAGCUGGAAAUAUUUUUGGCUCGGAUAAUCAGACAAACUCCUUGUACCUAAACCCCGAGAUGAGUUGGAAAUGUUAGUUAGGUUAGCUUUGCUCUAUAAGUAGUCUAUAAGUAGAACCAAAACCUUUAGUUUUGUGACCACUUAGUCAUAUCACCCCUAAUAUGACUGGCGAUUGUGGCGCUUGGUUGUGAAUACUUACUUGCCCGCAUGUAAAACGAGUCUAACAGUGAAGUGGUCACGUUGCUGGGAGUUUAGUGACUUUUUGUUUGGGUCAUUCGCCAGCGAUGGCGUUAUUCUACCUAAACCCUACCAUUCAACAACUUGAUUCAUUUAGGACCGUUCAUUUCGUUGGUCUUCA